rnacentral:rRNA from 1 species
UACGGAGGUGGCAAGCGUUGCUCGGAAUCACUGGGCGUAAAGGGCGCGUAGGCGGGGAGGUAAGUCGGGUGUGAAAUCCCUCGGCCCAACCGAGGAACUGCGCCCGAGACUGCUUCUCUUGAGUCCCGGAGAGGAAGAUGGAAUUCCCGGUGUAGCGGUGAAAUGUGUAGAGAUCGGGAGGAACACCGGUGGCGAAGGCGGUCUUCUGGACGGUGACUGACGCUGAGGCGCGAAAGCUAGGGGAGCAAACAGG